GGGGGCUGGGGGGAUUUGGUGCUGGAGCUGGUGCAUGAUGAUGCCUCUUGUGCUUGUGCUUGUGUUUUCUUUUCUUCUUGUGCUUGCCAGGAGCUGGAGCUGGGGAAAGCACUAAUGCUGGUGAUGGGGCUGGUGGUGGAAUAGCUGGUGCUGGUGCUGGAGUGGCUGGUGCUGGUGCUGGUGUUGGCGCUGGUGUUGCUGGUGCUGGUGCAGGUGCAGGUACUUCCUUAGCUGGUGAUGGUGAUGGUGUCUCUUUUGCAGGGGCUGGUGCUGGAGCUGGAGACACUCGUGGUGGAGGUAAGGAAGGCGGUGGUGUAGCUGGUGGUAAAGAAGGCGGUGGUGUAGCUGGUGGUGGUGGCAGUGCUGGUGUUUGUAUUGGAGCUGCAGUUGGAGGACUUUGCAGUGGUUGUGGAGGUGGAACUAUUGGGCUGGUAGCUGGUGCUACUUUAGGAGACGGUGGUGAUAUAGGAGUGGUUGCAGGUGGGAGUGUCAUUGCACUUAUUGGUGAUUGUGCUGGUGUGGUUGAAGGUGGAGGCGUAGUGGUUGUAGGUGCAGGUGUAGCGGGUGAAGUUGUUGAUGGCGAUGCUGCUGGUGUUUGGGCAUCGGUAAUAGCUAAUGGGAAACUCAGACAAGCCACGAUGAGAGCCCAAAGCACCAAGGCCAUUUUGUUGUAAUGAGAAGUAACAGGAAGAAGUAAUAUGUUAUAUAGAGUUGUGGGAAAUAGGUUUUUAAUUUUAAUAAAUGUUUGGUGGAAUGUCAAGAGGGGGAGAUGCAGUCUUUAUUUGAAUGCUACAUCCCUUCCAAUGAUUGGGAAUGAUGUCUUUUACGGCCAGGUCUGCAUUUAGUUGGUCGCAUCAGUCAGAUUUGGGGCCAAAAAUUUAGUAAUCUGAAGAAAGAUUCACUGCUUUAAGUUUUAGGUAUAUUGGUAACGCUGCUGCUGAUAUGAUUGUCAAUAGUUGUGCUGUAUUGGAUUUUUGGAUAUUGCAUCAAUCAGCAGCUAGAGAGACCCAUGUACUCGAUCUGUUAUGCAGUUUGAACUCAUUUAGAACCUUAGCACAAAGAGGGAAGGCUGAAGUUUCUUUUUCUUCACGGUGGGAUCUCGUAAUUAGGUAAUAUGUGUUUGCUUCAAUAGAAUCUUGAACCUAACAGAAAUUCGAAUCACGAGUUUUUAUGAUCAUAAAUUAUUACCACAAUCUUUUAUUUGUUGUGCCAGAAAUGUCUAGACAAAUGAUGGAGUGGAAAUGAGAGGGAGGAGAUGCAGACGGCAAACUGGGCUAACCUUUCACCUACUUAGGACGGACCAUGAUGUCGAUCCUAACACAAUCUUUACAUUGGUAAGCAGUCCCUGUCCAGUUCAAGGAAAGAGAGCAAGGUAGGGUGCCUUUUUCUGAUUUCUUUUUUGUUUCACUCAGCUGAGGACAUCUUGCUGUUUAAGGACAAAAAAUGCUGGUGACAAUUGAGCGCACCUGACAUCACGACGAUCUUAAAAAAUUUAAUGAAAAGAACAAGUUUCUGACAUUUUUUUUUUGUGGGAAAAAAGUAUUGUUUAAGGAGUCGCCACCGAAUAUUAUGUUCACUAGAAAUUUUAACUAGUCAACAUAGAUUCUAUGGUACAAGACUGGUUAUGUAAAAGUAAAGAUAUUAUCACCCUUGAAGCGUCCUGCCUGAGGCAGACUGUAUUGUUGGAUUUGUUUUAAAUUGCUAGAAGUUUGUUGGCUUAUGCUAUGAUGGUCUACUUGUAAUAUUCUUGACUCAGACGUCAGUGAAUAUUCAACUACGGAUAUUUUCAACUCUGACGUUGGUAAAUAUUACGUAGUAAAAAAAAACAAAAAACAAAUGGUAUUCUUUAUUCUGGUGUUAGUGAAUAUACCAAUAAAAUAAAUUUAAAUCUAUGCAUGUAUAUUUUUUUUUAUGCAUGUUGAGCCUGAGGUCCAACCCAACUUUUUUCUUUUUUUUUAAUUUUUUUGGGACUGGGUUUAGCUCAGCUAAUCUAGCCGGUCCAGCCUGGUCACUGGCCUAAACUAGUGACCCGGCUGGGCCACACACCCACUACAUAAAACAAGAAACUAGUGAAUUAUAAUUCACUUAUUUUAACCUAAUCUUCAAUCAAUUUAUUUAUUUCAUAUUUUUAUAUAUAUAUUAUUUUUGAAAAUUCAAAAAUUAGGUUAUAUCAAGGCAUUGCAUAUUCUGUUAUCCGUUAGAAUUUGUAAAAUUAUAAUCCAAUGCACAAUGCGAGAGCUGAACUUGUUAUAUCCACAAGUUCAGGCUACUUGUUGCAAGAUUCUAGUGACCCUGUGGGGAUCUAACAAUAAGGCUAAAAGUAAAUCGCAAACAACUUUCACGAAUUGGGGCUAAAUCUUGAACGGAUAGUUUUGCUGCAAACCUGGUGAAAUUCACCAGUCUUCGGCAAUGAACCCCCCAUUUUUCCAUUAUAAAAAAGAAAAAAAAAAGAGAAUCUGCAAAUUCAGAAUUUCGACUGGAUGCUGCAGUUGCAAAAAAUAAAAACUCGUGAGAUUACAGUGGUUUUCCAUGGUGACAGGCGUUGCAUGACAAUUGCUACUGCAGGCCCACGUGGAAACAAGGUAUUUGGGAAACUAGGGUAUCUUCCAAUCUUUCCAACGAUAUCAUGAUCUCUCUAUGCUAAUACAAGGUUUUAUUCCAAGUCGUAUUUUUCACCUUCAGACAAAGGCAAUAUGAAGUUCGUGGAUUUCAUAUUCUCAUAAAGACGUCAAUAAUCUAUUCAAUUUGAUCGAAAAGAUACUACUGUUUUUUUUGCAAAGUUUUUAUUUAACGUACAAGGACUUGGUGUUCUAUCAUCUCUUACAAACAGAACAUGGCAUGGAAGAAACCAUGCAUCUUACCAAGGAUUUUCAAUUGAGGAUUUGUUAUGGGAAGACACGAAGGCUGAGGAGGGGAAUCUUCUUUCUUCUCCUUUUUCCUUCUCCUAAGCUGGAAGAACUGCUGCAUUACAUCUGCACACUCAGAUUCCAAUAUUCCUCGCCGAAUUGUCAUCUUUCGAUGGAAAGGAUGGACUGGAGCCGAUGGCUUGUUAGAUAGUUCUGAGCCAUUUUCUUCUCCCGCAUCAGGAAAAAGCCUGCAAAAAUUGUCACGCAUGAAAAUUUUUGGUUGAGUCGGAUGAAGGCCUAAUAAAGUUGAAUAACUGGUUUGCGAAUGGUGGUUUGUUCCAAGUCUCUUGGCCCUAAAUCCCAUUCUAGCAGAGAUUGUAUGCUUUGCUUGGUAACUGGAACAAGUAAACUUCAUAUAAUAUCAGCAGCCAUUUCAGUUAAACUGGGAGAAUGGCCAUAGAAACCAAUUAAUCAUUUUCUUUCCAAUAAAAAAAAAUAGCAACAGCAAUAAGAAAUAAAAGACUGAUUUUAGUAAGGGCAAAGCUUGUGCUCUAUUAAUCAUGUUUUGAUCCACAGACGCAAUAUGACGCUAUUAGCAUUGAUGACAUUAAUACAGAAAAGGGGAAACCAUUCACAAGGAAGAAAACGUGGCCCGUGUAUCUCAAUCUUAGUACAUUGUAAUGGCAAGGCAAUUUGAACACUUUUCCUAUUGGGGUGCAUAAUGCAUGGUCAGAUCACUUUAAUAACAAGUAUCUCAGCAGGAAAGGACCAAAUAAUGCAUUUUUUUUAUGGAAUGAAUAUGGCACUAUUGAUAUUUAACAAGAACAAUUUAAAGAAAUGGCUUUGGUUUUUUUCCUUGAAUAAUAAUUGCUGUACAAAAGACCAGUCUCCCUUUAUAAUGAGACUUCAUGGAUGAUGUGCUUACCUAAUCCAGCUUCCAUCAGCUCCAAGAAGCUUAUUGGGAGCUCCCCAUACAAGAGUUUUUAUUCUUGCUUGAAGUAUUGCUCCAGCACACAUAGGACAUGGUUCAAGUGUUAUAUAAAGUGUAGUCUCCUGCGAAUCAAAUCAUUAAACAUCAUUAAGCACCUGCUGUGCAUAUCAGCCAACUCAGAGACAGUUCCUUGAGAAGUGAUUUGCACUUUGAAACUCGGUUUUCAAUUGAUAUAGUUAUGAUUGCCUUUUUAUCUGUUCCUUUCAUAUGUAAAAGCUAGUCAAUGAAUAAGUUAAAAUGGUUUGAUAACGAUUAAACUAGUUGAGAGUGAAUCCAUUAACUAUCAAUUAUUGUCUCCGUAGGAUGUUGAAUAUUUCAAAAAGAAUGAAGGGAAUAUAUAAAGUUCUCAAAAAAUGGAGAAAGUACCGAAAGCCUCCAUGUCCGGAGUUUGUUUGAUGCUUCCCGUAUACAAAUCAUUUCUGCAUGGGCAGUGGAGUCUCGUAACUCCUCCACUCUGACAUAUAAAUCUCCACAUAAAAAACCCAAAAAAGAGUAAGCGCAAUAAAAGGUUUUAUUCACUAGUGCAUACAACUUACAGGUUGUGGCCACGAGCAAUAAUCCUCCCAUGAUGCACCAACACGGCCCCAACAGGCACCUCCCAAGAAUCAGCAGCCUUCUUGGCUUCUAGCAGCGCUUCUCUCAUAAACAUUUCAUCAGUUUUCCGCAGCUCACUUUCACGUAAAUAGGCCUCUUCCCAUUCAUCAAAUCUGUCUCUCUCAACUUGCUUGUUUCGCUGAAGCCUCCUUUGUUUUGACUCCACACCCUUCCCCUCAGAGCCUGAUACUCCAAUUAACAUUUCACUAUCAGGUUGCUCCAUUGAACCACUAACAGAGACAUUAGUUUUAGCAGUACCAGAACUUUCUUCCACAAUGGGAUCACUUGUGCUAGUAGAAGGCAAUAAAACUAGUAAUGAUUCGUCUACUUCCGUGCUAGAUGUAGCAACUUGAAAAUCGUUCCCAUCUUGACUCCAGCCAAGAUUCUCCUCUUCAGAAGGUGUGGAAAUGCCUUUCGAUGUGGACUCGCUUUUUAGCAUAAUUGGCCGGGAUGAAGUGUAUCCUUCAAGCUGUCUUAUUAUGUUCUUUGAUACAAAUGUGUCAGAUGCUUUUGCCUGAUCUUGACUAAAAGUGUUUGUUGGUUGCAGCUGGUGAGAAGAGGCAGCUUCCUUAGGCAUGCUUUCCCUUUCCCUUUUCAUGUUCUCAUCACUGUUUUCAUCAGGUUCGUGGCCAGAAAACCAUGCCUCACUAGUAACAGAAUCAUUUGACGAACUCUUUCCACCUGAUCUCCAAGCUGAUUUAGGAGUUUCAGCAUGUGAACCCCAGCGCAAUAGUACUACAUUCGAAAUGAUGCUCCACAAGGACCUUCCAGUUCUCCUAACAACACCACUCUCAGUUUCUGUGCUACCUGCUGGUGCUUCAGUCUCUGUAGGUUCCUGAAUGGAUGGAUCUGUCACAUGCCACAUUUCAUCUGAGGGACCCUUCUCUCUGGAGCCCCUAGAUGAUUGCCUUGAGUCCUGCCUCUUAAACUGUAAGUCUUCAGAAUCAUAUUGACCUGAACUCUUUUGCCUCUGCUUCUCAGCUUCAUAUGCCAACUUUGUAUCAGAAACUGUCUUCUCCUUUUGGAUUUCAGAAGCCAAUACUUCAUGCCUAGCCUUCUCAACAAACUCCCCAACAAACUGCAUUGAUGAUUCCUCUAAACGAUGAGUUGAACCAAGAGCAUCUCCAGUUAAGAUAAGAUUUGAAGGCUCCCUGUAAAUCUCAUCUUUCUCAUUUUUACCAUAUGUUUCCUGCUGGAAAACUGGAGUUCCCCCUCCAGAAAUUAUAUACAGAGCACUUGCGCCACUUUCUGAAGUUCCUCUGGAAAUCUCUUGGUUUGCAUUCUUACUUGGCGGAUUAACACAUGCUGUACCUCGAGCUAACAAUUGAGGUGGGGGAGGCAUCAUUAUUGCCUGUGAAGUUCUUUGAUUGCCCUCUCCCACAUCAACCUCUUGAAUUCCCACUUGAGAAACCAUAUUAGCAGAUGCUUGAGAAUCUAAGGCAGCCUCCUGUGAAGUUCUUUCAUUAUGCCUUGAUUCGUAAGUAGGCCUCCAAACCUCAUUUCUAGAUUUGAAUUGAGUGACAUUUUCCUCAAUUUUAUCAGUCCUCUCUCUUGUUUCUCGAAUGGGUUCCACAGCUGAUGCCGAUUCACUUUCCUGAUCAACGAUUCUCUUUCCAGAAGUUCCACCAAAAUUGGUCACUGUUUUCACAUCACUUGCAUGGACCAGUGAUGCACCAGUGACAUUCAGAGAGAUAUUGGUGAUAUCUCCAGAUCCUUUUCUGGUUUCAGUUCCCUGAAGAGCUUUUUGAUUUGUUCGAGGCUGGUGCUCUUUUGCUUCUGUACCUGAACUAGAAACAACACUCUCACGUCCCUCCUGCUUCUUCAUUCUAGUUUCUGAUUGUAAAAGCAAAGUGUUUUUGCUACUACUGUCAUGAACUUCUGGUAUUUUAGAUAACUGUUGUAAACAUCUUGAUUGAACUUGUCUUCUUGUCUGCCCACCCAUUUGGAAUUGUUGCUCAUUUGUCUCAUAAAAUGACCCUAGAGCUCUAUCUUCUUCCAUAAUCUUCAUUCUAGGCUCGGAUUGCCACUGCAAAUUUGAAACUCUUUCAGUUCUGACAUUCUCAAGGGUUGAUGUGUCAAUGAGUUGGUGAGUGUUUCUUUUUAUAUUGUUUUCUGCAGCAGUUUCACCUACUUCAUAACGCUCAUCCCUUCCUUCCCAAACCAAAUUUACAUCCACUAGGUUUUCUUCUCUACCACUGAACCGCUUUUGGGAUUGGGAAGUUGUUUCGACAUUUGUUCCACUGCUCUCCUGUUUAUUAGUAAUUUCCUGGUAAUUUCUUCUGAAUUCAGAUUGCUCUUUCACGGGAUCACCCAUCUGACCAUAUUGCUUUCUUGUUCCUUUCUCCAAAUUAACUGCCAAGCUUUUCUCUUCCUCGUCAUCAAUUUGCUUAUGAGAACCUGAUACAUUCUUGUAAUCACUUUCAGUGGUUCUUGCCAUUCUUGAUUGCAUUUGUAAGGAUUCUCUUCCUGAUCGUGUUUCUUCAAUCUCAGUAAGUUUCUUCUCAGAUUUCUUCCUCAAAUCCCACUCAACACCAGUCCUUCUUGAACUAGUUCUUGCUUCCAAAACCUCCCCCUUCCACUCUGUGCCAUCUCUAUGCCUCUUAAACUCUUCUACAACUUGCCCCUUUAAUCUACCCUCUCCACUUCUUAACUCCUUGUAUCCAUGCGAUGAUUCUUUGAGACAAUCAACAUGUUCAUCCUGAGCUUCCAUGUCACUCUCAAAAUCUUCAGCAGAAGAAAGUGAGUAAUAUGAUGAAACACUAGAGCUCCCUCUCUUUCCCCUGCAAUUCUCCCCCUCUAAAACUGUUUUCUUUUCUUCCCUGUCUUCACUCCCUUCCUUCCUUGUAAACUCUUCCUUCCUCAACUCAACAUUAGCCAACCCAAAUUUACAUUUCGUAUCACUCUCCAAAGACCUACGCCCAACAUUCUUCCUCCUCCUCCCCUUAUGAUCUCCACCACUGUAAUUUCCUCUCUUCUCCGUUCCCACUCUCUUUGACAGGCCCUGAUUUCUCUCCCCAUCACGUAAACACUCUUCACUCAUUUCCUCACUCAGCAAACUAAUUACGGCCUCCACAUCAUCAACCCCGCUAAAACAUCGCCUUCCGUGCAACCUUACCCCCCCAGACCCACCCACCCUUCUCCUAGUAACCCUCUCACUCCCAUUCUUCUCCUUAAAAGAGCAAGAAUCCUCAUAACAACCAUGAUCAAGACCAUAAGCCGGAGACCGGUAAUAAUACCUAUCCCUCCCGCCCAAGAUCAACCUUCUAGAAGGCGGACAUUGAAUAAUAGUAGAUUGUCUAAAUCCAAAAAACAAACCUGGGUUUAUUGGCACUCUACGUAUAGUAGUGGUAGUAGAAAAUGAUGAUGAUGAUGCAGAACAAGAACAAGAACAACAACAACAACAACAACAAGAUUUAUUACAUGAUGAUGAACAAGAUUGUAAUAAAAAUGGGUUUCUUUCAAAUCUUUCACUUAAUAAGUUAGAGUAGUCAUUGAAAGAAAAGGAAAGUGACCCUUUUGUUCCCACGGACAACAAAGUUGAGCUAAUGUAAGUGUUAUGCAUAUCUUUGGUCCACUGUUAUAGAGAGAGGGAGGGGGCUUACCUUGAUGGAUUUUGUUAGGUUUUUGAAGCUAAAACUGGUGGUGAAAUCAUGUGGGAUGUUCUGUUGGAACUGGUUUGGUGAUUUGUACUUUUGCUUGACAAGAUUUGGACCAGAAUUUAGGAUGAGAGAGAGAAAGAGCUAGUGGUUUCAUUUUUCAAAUCGGAUGAGUUGACUCUCUCUGUGCUGGUUUAACUCGGUCGCCUUUAGAGAUUGACACAAAGUGGGCUGUGGGCUGCUGGCUUUCCAGGUGGGUGCACUUAAGCAAACAUUAGUGGGCUUCAUAUAUAAGUUAAUUGGGAUCUGAUCUAUAAAAUUGGGCUUUAAAAGUCCAAUACUCCAGCCCAAUAUGUAGUGUGAGUAAAUAUACUAACGGAACUCUAGAUACAAAUUAACCAAAAAUCUGUUUAUUUAUUCAUUAAUGACUAAUACUAAGUCAGAAAUUCUGUUUGGUGAUUUCAAAUCACGUAUGGUAUCCGUACAAAAUAUUUUAAAAAAAAAGCAUGGUGGCUGUGGCUAAUAAGAACCUUCAAAGUAAAUUCAAACUUAGAGCAUUCAAAUUGACACAAUUCAUUAAUUAUUAUUCAUUUGUUUGCGGGGCACAACAAGCAUGAUUUGCUGCUCGACAUUCGCUGCCAAACAAGACUCACUGUAUCUAUGACUUUGUAGCAUGAUCACCUAGUUGCAAGUCUUUGUUACAAUGAUUUGAUUAUGUUUAUCAUAUUUUUUAAAAAAUUGAUUUAAGAUUUAAAUUUUUUAUUUAAAGAAUAUUCAAUAAAUAUGUUAUGCAUAAAUUAUUCUGACUUGUUUAAAAGUAAUUUUGAUGAAUUAACUUUUUGGUUGGGAUUUUUGUAAAUAAAAAUCAUCUUUAAUAAAAUAGGUUUGUCAAGCAUAUCAUAUCCAAAGUACUUAGAUUUGAAAAUAAGAUAAACUUAAGGUAACAUGGGUCUGAUCAAUAUGGGAGACCCAAAGGACUUAGAUAUUAACAAGCUCCAAAGCUAUAUGUCUAAUUAUGGACAAUCCUCUACAAUAAAAGUAUUAAAGAUAUGAUAAAUCGUUAUGCCUAUACUCAUAGAUAUAUAUAUAAAGUUUCUUAAGGAAUCUAUCAUACUUACUAUCUCAUUAACGAUACGCAAGAGAUAUUUGUCCCUCAUUAAUUUGGUUGAAAACAAAGAACUUUUUAGUCAUUCUUUUCUGUGAAAAAGAUAAGGUUUAGAGGAUAGUUUUACCCUAUGAACCAUCAAGGUAACAAGUUCAGAACUUUUUCAGAGCAUUAACCAACUUAAAACUCAAAAAUAAAUAUAUUUGUUCCUUGAAUUUAAUACUAUUUCAAGUUAUUUAUUGUCUUAGGUCAUUUAAUAUCUUUCUCAUGAAUAUAUUAACUUUAUAAUCGAAGGGUUUUUAAGUCCUUUAAGCUGUGCAUGUACUAAAGCUUUUAUCAUAAGUCUGAAAUUCUUUAGAUUAAGAAGAAGAAAUUCAAGCACAUUAAGAUAUUAAUUAACCAUUAUCCAAAACACUAAAUAACUUUUUUAUUUAUAUAUCUUGAAUUUUAGAACAUCAUUAACUAUAAAACUGAAUUAAUAUUUUAUUUACAGCUAAGAUUAAUUUAUACCAUCUUUUUUUCUAAUCAAAUAGUUGUUUUAAGUAUUUUUUACUAAAUAUAUUUUUAGUUUCUGUUACAAAUUAUUUAGGGAAAAGGUAACUUUAUGUUUUAUUAAGCACUCAAAAUCGGAAAUCACUUUUCAUAAUAUGAAACCUAAGCUGACAUAUUAUUGGAAUCUUAAAACGUGUUGUCGCCUAAAGCAUACCAAAGUAGCGACUUGUUAUUUUUAUUUUUUUCCAGCCCACAAUCCAUGUUUCAAAAAAAAGUACAUGUAGCCCAAAACUAAGGGAAUAAAGUACGGAAGUAUUUGGGAACGCGGUUUAAUUUGUAUUUUUAAAAAAUUUGAAAUUUUUUUUGUUAAAAUUUAAUAUGGUUUGUAUGUUUUGGAUCGUUUUGAUGUACUGAUGUUAAAAAUGAUUUUUAAAAAAUAAAAAAACAUCAUUGACAUGCAUUUUGACAUGAAAAGUUAUUUAAAAAGUAUCCACAAUCAUACUGCCAAACAAGCUCUACAUAUGCAUUUGUCAUUCUCUGAGUCAGCCGAGUAGAAAAGGAAGCCACAUCAAUUCGGAGAAGUGCUGUUCCAUGCCAUGCAUCCUGGUCAAAAGAAGAUCAAUUAAUUUGCUACUCCCCGUGAAGCCCUAGCAUGAACAAUCACGUCAAUUACUAGACCAUUGAUCAGCUCACUCUCAGCAGCAUAACACUUUCGGUAAUAUAUAUAACUUCACGGGUUGAUUUCUACACUCGAAGACUCAUUAAUGAGGUUCAAAUUAAUUAGUUAAUUAGGUCGAAGAAUCUCUCCUGACUGAUUGUAUGCUAAGAACAUUUAUUUUGGCUCAAAAUAUGUCAGAACACCGUCUACACAUCAUGGAUUACUGUAAGUUUUGUAGUGGAGAGAUUGGUUUGUUCUUGCUUCGUGCUGAAUGAACUUGUUUCUUCUUGCUCGAGCCAGCUCUUCGAAGACAAUAUUUCAAGUAACAGCAGCAAAUGCUAGCUAGUGAUAUAUAUAUAUAUAUAUAUAUAUAUAUUUGAAUGGUAAAAUAAAUUAAUUGAAGGAUCAGGGUUAUGAUGGCUUGAAAUCUCGGGCGUUGACAUGUCCGUAUGAAUAUUAAUUGAAUAUAUAUAUAGUCCUCAAAAAACCCUUCAGUCCUCUUUGACGUCUCCCUUGUUCCUUGGUCAGCAUUGAUCUACAAUAAUGAAACUCAUAAUUUACAGAAAUCUUUUUUUAUAUAAACAAGGAGGGGUAUGCACAUGUUUAUGAGCAUCCCUUACUCCUAGGCCUGAAAUUUUUAUUAAUACACCGAAUUGUUUGAUGCAUGUGUUUCAGGAUGGCGGCCGAUCGAAUUUUUUUUUAUUAGGACACUCACACAUGUAUGUAUGUAUAUAUAAAAGCAGAGUAUUUAACUGCUAUAAUAUAAACCCAUCAACAGAGUUUUAAUAUUUCGUAUUUUUUAAAUUAACCUUGAUCGUAGUGAAAGCAGGAUCAGUUUUUCCUAAGCAAUCUGGAUCUGUGAUUGGAAUUUUUUCUCCAAGUGUUGCCAAUUACCCACAUUUUUUUUUAUCUAUAUAAGUUAUGCUUGUAAUUAUUAUAGUGGUUGUUUUUUAAAGUAUUUUUACAUAAAAAUAUAUUAAAAUAAUAUUUUUUUAUAUCAUUAUAUUAAAACAAUACAAAAACAUUAAAAAAAUUAAAAACAUAUAUUAUUGCGAGAUAAACGCACCAUAAAAAGAUAGCUUCGGGCAAAAAAAAGUUGAGAAAGAAAAGAGAAUAUUCAAUUCAUAUUUAUAACUUGUUUUUUAAAUUAAGUUGAUUUUUUUAGAUAUGUAUGAAUAAUUUUGAUGUGUUAAUAUUAAAAAAAACUAAAAAAAAUCAUUUUAAUAUAUAUUUAAUUAAAAAAAAUAGCAACUGCACCCAUCUAUGUUGAAAAUUCUGAACAUGCACAUUGGUAAAACAAUUCAAAUAUUAUACACAUGUACUGUUCUUGUUAAUUUUCAUUCGAUAACAAAAUAUAUUUACAACAUUUGGCUGAUCGAUAUUCUCGAUAUACAUGAAAGUCCCUCGGUGCAAAUAUUCUGGAGGUAAAACCAAUGUCUGCCUAUAAUUAAUCGUUCAAAUUUGAAAUUAUUCACUGAAAAUACGGGCACUAAACUUUGGAGUGACUCCUCCUGGGUCAAAAGCUAACAGGGACAGCAGAAGAACCGGCAAUGGACCACUCACCAGAUAUAUAAGCCUGGGAUACCGCCUGCACAACGCCCUGGUUAGUACGGCUAUGGCCGAACUUUUAAUCUAUGUAUUAUAAAUUCAUUUUAAUCCUAUUUCCAUCGCAGAAACCAGCUCAUAAAAUAUUAUUUAUUAAUUAAUAAUGAAAACUCAUUUUCAAAUAGGGCAAACACCUCCAUCCUGCAAGAAGCAAUCACGAUUCAAAUUCAAACUAAAACAAAUUUGACAAUUGUAUUUACGGAACCCAGUUGUCGUUUAGAAUCGCUUUCUUUAAUAUCUUAAUCUCACCAUUGAGCUUUCUAUUUUCUUUUCCCAGUGAACAUGAUUAAGCUGGCGUUUGUCUUAAAAAAUAUAAUAAAAAAAACCCAGUUGAAGAAAACAAAAUGUUUCUGAAGAUGCAUCCCCAGUAAACAAAAACCCUGCCACUCCGAGCUCUUACCACUGCGCAAAUGGAAAUGUGUCGGGUAAUUUAUUUCUGAAGUACUAGGCUUCUAGACGUGAAAAUAACCUUGCCUUCCAUGUCUGCAGAACUAUAGUCUAGUUCCUUGCAUCAUAGUAAAACACAUCGAUCCAUCUUUCCCUAAACCCAGUCAUGCUAGUGAUCAAUUCUCUGCCCGUUAAGGGUAGUUUAGAAAUAUUAUAAUGAUUAUAGUUUAAAGUAUUUUUUAUCUAGAAAUAUAUCAAAAUAAUUUUUAUAUUUUGUAAAAAUAAUUUUAACAUUUUAAAAAUUAAUUUUAAAUUAAAAAAUAAAAUUUUAAAAAAAUAUAAAUUAAACCCUGUUUCCAAACCAUCUUUAAAUCUUUAGGUUUACUCAGUAAGAUAAACGGUGUACAGUAGCUGAGGGAUUAAAUUAUAAGUUUUCAAACAUGGAAGGCUAUUAUAUGGUUCGAAACCCAAGGGUCACGUAAUUUUAAGAUAUUUCCUUGCUCGAAAGUCAGAUGAUGCUUGAACUUCCACAAAAGCGAUGGAUAGAUGGAGGCCGGCACGAAUGCCCUCGGCACGGUGUAUUAGCAUCAUAGACAUUUGAGUUAUAAAUUAAUAAAUUGCCCAUUUUAUCAUGGCAUUUUAUAUUUCCAUGGCUCGUCAUUUCCUUUCUAGAUAAUCUUGACAGGUUGCCAAAUGAGACGGCUGUAGAAAAUCAUGCCCAGGAGAUACUGUUGAGCGGGAUUUGUAUGUAGACUCUUGCAUGCCGUACAGAGCAUUCUAUAGCAUUUAACAAGUCCAGACUCGAUUGCAAGUCAAGGGUUAAGGUGGGGCUCCACGAACAGCAACUUUCAUCGAAAUUAAUCAUCGGCACGGUCAAUUUAGACGCUUAACGACUAUAUCAGCAAGAUGUAUGUAUACAAACUUGUCCAUGUGAGUCAAUGAUUGCAUGAUUUGGUGUGUCUACAUGUACAAUAGACUUCACCCCAGAAAAAUUAAUUAUAGAUAACACAGAGAGGUUUUAAUUCAAGUGAUGUAAAUUCAAAGCGAUCGAAGAACCUGCCCGUGAAUCCGUGUUGAAUUUACUUGGAUUUAGCCUGAACUCUUUAUGCAGUACAAUAUUCCAUGAGCGAUUGACAAAACUACUUUAUUCGUGGCCUGACAUGAUUAUGCAAAAUGACGACAUCACGAAGACACGGGGAAAAAAAAGGAGGAAAAGGGUGUGGAUAUUGCAAAAAGAAAAAAAGGUUUCUAGAUUCACUCUGCAUUAGCGAUCAUCUCGCCGAAUAAAUAAUAAAUACUUUUUAAUGCGAAUAUCUUGCUAUCAAAUCUAAUAAUUUUAUCAAUAAAAUUUUUGUUGAUAUUUAUAUUAAUAAUUAUUUUACUAAUAGAAUCAUAAAUAAAAACCAUCUGUUAAAAAAAAUUCAUCGGUAAUUUUUGAUCUCAUCAUUACUAAAUUGACCGAUAGCUUAACAGACAGACUAUGCAUACUAAGUGGGUGUUUCUUAUUGUGGUUGCGGGUGAGGUUCAUCCGCAACCACAACUUUUAGUGUUUGGUAAAAUUAAAAGAGCAGUUUUUUUAUCAUGGGAUCCACUGAUAACUGUGGUGUGCCACAGGUUUUUGAGAAGCAGCAUUUUGCUGCUUCUCGUCUAAACAUUAACACCAACAGUGGAGCCAUGCUCCACUGUAACACUGUUCACGUAUUAACGUGAACAGUAUUUUUUUUUUUAAUUUCGAAAAACAAUGCAAAUUAAUUCACUCGCAUUGUUCACAUGAAAUUUUUUUAAAAAAAAAAACCAGUGUAAUUAAUUGAUUUCACUCGCACUAUUCACGUGAACGUGAACAAUAUAUUUUUUUGUUUGUUAAAAAAAAUAGUUUAAGGUGAAUUAAAUUUACUCGUAUUGUAAUCUCAAUUUUAUUCCUGAUAAUAUUUUACCUAAUUUUAUUGCACGCUCAAAAAAUCAUGAAAACUAUCGUUCUUGUCGAAUGAAUUUUGUACGUAAUGAAAUUGUAAAUUUUUUUUAAAAAAAAUUGAGUUUUACUUGAAAAACUAGUAUUUAAUAUUAUUUAUAACACUACAUAAAUUAGAAGGAUAUCGCAUGAUAACAUAGCAUUUGUGAAAUUUGAUCGCAAUUCCAAUUAUGUUCUUGCCGGGUCCGAACCAGUUAAAAAAAUUCAGUUUUUAUUUUUAUUUUAAUUGUGUUUUAUUCAAAAAAUUAGAAGGAUAUCGUUUGAUGACGUAACAAAAAAUUCAGUUUUUGUUGUUGCAUGCUUAAGAAACCAUGAAAAAUAUAGUCAUUGUUGGAUAGAUUUUGUAUGUGAUGACAUUGCAUAUAGUUUAAUGGAAUAAUAAAAAAAUAUUUGAUAUCAAUAUUAUUUAUUUCAUGAUGUAAUAAUAAUAGUUAAAUCUUCAAUAUUUAAAUUAAAAAUAUUUUUUUAAUUAUUUUAUAACCUCAAUUUGAAAAGCAUUUUUUUAACCAAACACAUUAAACUACUUUUUGUUCAACCUCAAUUUCAACCACAGUUUUAACCAAACACCUAUUUUUUCAAACCAACCUCAAUUAAAAGUACUUUUUAUAAAAUAACUUUUUUCAAACCACAACCACAACAGCAACCGCAAUACCAAACACACUCUAAAACAUAAUUACUCGCUUUAAUCUGUUAGGAAUUUCCUUGGUACUAUUGUUUAUCAUAUCACCAAUAGGAUAAUUGUAUAUAAUUCUGUUUGUGAGUUACAAUAACAUUUACAAUAAUUUUUUUUUUAAUUUUUUAAAAUAUAUCGAUGGACUCGGUCUAUCUGUAAUCUCGUCAGUAAUAAUCUAUAUAUAUAUAUAUAAAAUAUUAAACAUGAAUAGAAAGUAAUUAAAAAAAUAAUAUAAAUUUUAAAUAUUUAAAAAUCAAUUAUCUUAAUAUAAAAAUCAAAAUAUUUAUUAUAAUUCUAUAAUCAAUUAUUUAUACCUUACUAGACUCACAGGUAUUUAGACUUAAGUCGAAAGGUGUUGAGUGUAGCACUUUAUCAAAACCUAUAUGUACUUGGAUCUAACGUAUAGCUGAAUGUAAAUAUGUUGGGUUGGCAAUAUGUCAACCCCACAUACACUUGUGUUGAGUGCGUAGAUAAACUUAAAGGUAUUAGGUAAAAUAAAAUACCAUAUUUAUGGAUAUUUAAAUUUAGUAUGCAGCUGGACUAAAAAAUAUUAAAUUUAAAAAUAAAUAAGAUCUGAGCUCGUCAAUCUAUCAAAUGCAUGAAUGAGAUGAUGGGUUAGUAUUCACUUUUUUUACUGUGGGUUUCUUAAACAAAUGAAUUGUUGCUUUUCAUUUUCAAUAACACAAGAACCUUUAAUCGUCAUAGUUGUUGGUCACUUCAUGAUCUGUUUUUAACUAUAGAAUCCCCACUAGCAUUUUUUUUUUUAAUUACAGCUAACAGAGAUAAAUAAAAUAUUGGCAAGAAUUCAGAACGGUAAUAGGAAAAUAAACCAAAUUAUAUAGAAAAAAAAUAAUUCAUGGCACCAAUUCCUUAGUAAAAAAAUCCAUGGCAAUUGAUUUGAAAUAUUUUUCUGUCUUUUUUUCACGCCUGUUUUUGUCGCCACCAUGACGAUGCCAACGGUAAUCCAACAAAACAACAAAAUAAACAUCAAACAAGUACACAAUUAAUUAUGAAUAUAUGUUGGAGAGUGUAAUAAAUAUUUUUAAAAUUUAUUUUUGAAAUCAAUAAAUCAAAAUGAUUAAAAAAUAUUAAAAAUAAUAAUUUAAAAUUAAAAUAUUAAAAUAUUUUAAAAUUACAGCUGGAUUGAAAUGCUAAAUAACACCUUAACCUCAUUGAAAAACCGUCCCUAUUUGAUUAAUUUAUUUUUUUCUGAUAUGAUAUGUUUUCCUUUUCCUCUCAUAUUAGACAGAUAACCAAAAUUCAUUUGAAGAUCUCAUUUCCGAUUUUCUUUCUUCGUUCUUUUCUUCCUUCCCUGAUUUACUCCCAUUAUCUCAUAAAUUAAUUUAAUACUACUAUAUAAAAUAGCACUCGAAAGAUCGUCUAUCCAAAAACAAAUUUAACAAUUUGUCUAGUAAGAGUGAACAAAAAAAUCAAAAAAUCAAGAAAACAGGAAAAAAAUAAUAAAAAAAGCCGAACUGUGAAAAAAAACCGAUUAAAAUUUUAAAAAAACCGGCCGGUCCGGUCCGGUUUUAUAAGCCUAAAACCAAAAAAACCGAACCGAAUCCAAACCGGAAAAAACCGAGCCAAUCCGGUUUGAACUGGUUUUUGUCCUAAAAAACUGAACCGAACCGAAACCGGUCGGUUUGAACCGGUUUCGGUUUUUUUUAAUAAAAAAUUUGGUUUGAUUGCUUUUUUUUUUAUAAAAACCGAACCGAACAAAAAAUAAUCACCACUAUUAUCUUGUGUUUUUUUUUUCUAAUUUAGUGGUUAGAGAAUUAUUAUGCCAGCUCCCAUAAAAUAAAAUUAUUGAGUAUUGAAUUGGAUAAUGUAAAAUCUUUUUUCUUUUCUUUUGUGUGAGUCACGUUGACUUACACAUGAAAUAUUGAGUAUUGAAUUGGGUUGUUUGAGAGUGUGGUUGCAAUUAUUUUUUAAAAUGUUUUUCAUGAUAAAAUGUAUUAAAAUGAUGUUUUUUUUAUUUUUUAAAAAUUAUUUUUAAAAUCAGCGCAUUAAAACGAUUUAAAAAAUAUAAAAAAAUUAAUUUUUAACAAAAAUAAUUAAAUUUUUAGACAUCAUGUUUCUAAACUGUCUUUUAUGCAAAGGGCAAAGGAAGGAGAGAGGGAAAAAGGGCAAAAAUGCCAAAUCAGAAAAAACGUGUUUCGCGGAAAUCGCUAUUCUCAGCACUAGCUCGCCAUCACCUCCACAGUUCAAAAGAUGCAAUUAUUAAUCUUACACUAACAUGUAAAGCUUCCCUUCUAGAAUUUCUCGAGUCAGCGCAAGGAUUUACCACGAAUUUUAAAAAUCCAUGGUCUUCUACAACAAAGGACAAAAAAAUAAAAUAAAAUAAAAAACAAUGCCCCAGGUCAGGUCUUCAAAUCUCAGAGCCACUACUCCUCUCGUUUAUUAUAUUCUUUAACGGUUUGUCACUCUCCGGCACUAAAUUUCCAAGCUGAGCAUUUUGACCAACUUCAUUCAUCUAGAAGGAGGUCUAAUGCGCGUUUCUUACAUAAUAAAAAGGAUUAUUAUUUUUUUAAAGUUAAACAAGGGUGGAUGCUAAAUCUUUCAAAAAAGUUUUAUUUAAACUAUUUAUAUUUUUGAAGUAUUCACAAAUACUAUCAUGUAUACAAAUACUUUCUGUAUUAAUAUUGUUUUUGAUAUUAUUAUGCAGUGAGUCUUUUAAAUUUAUUUUUUAUUUGAAAAUGUAUCAAAACCAUAAAAAUUAUUAAAAAAUAUCAAUUAAUAUAUAAAAAAACAUAAUAAAAAAACAUAAUUUUCAAACACACUUUAAAUGAAAGUAAAUGAACAACAAUCAAAGCAACUGGGUAACAAAACAAUUAAUGUUAAAAAAGAAGAAGGAAAGGCAACAGCAAAAAAACGAAGUCAAAAAAGAAAAAAGAAAAAAAAAAAGGGGGUCAUCCAUUUUAAUCAAAGUCUACGUUCAAAGCGUACAGGAUGCGCCAUCUCUCAUCUCCUGCUUCUUGUUGCUUUCCCUUUCCAAGAAAAAAGAAGAAGAAAACAAUCCAAUGCAAUAAUUUUUUUUUUAUAAUAAAUACUAAUUCAAUGUAAGACCGCCACCAUCCACCUCGACAAUUUUUUCUCUAUCUAUAUUAAAGAGAGUGGUUUGUUUUAGGACGCACUCAAUCUGAUAUACCUCUGUGUCCUUCAAAACAAACUACCCUUGUACUGUCUUACCUUUGUGUUCUUCUUCAAGGGUGGAGAUCACAUCCAAGAAUCCAUGUGAUCAUAGCUUUUAAAGGUGUCUCUACUUUUGUCCAAUCCUCUGUUUUUAGCCGCGUCAAUCUCUCAAAGUUCCUUGCCUUUUCUUUCUUUUCUUGUUCAAUUUUCAUCUUUGUGUUAUUGGGUUAUUGAAUUUUUGAGCUUUUAGGCUCGAAUUCCAACUGGGAUUUUGAUUUUGGUGUGAUUUCUGCUUCUGGGCAUUCCAGUUUUCAUUCAAAGGAGCGGCAUUUUUAGCACUCCUAACUAUAGAACCAAAAAGUUCUGUUCUUUGUUAGAGGAGGAGAGAAAUGGCUGGUGGUGGGAAAAGGAAGAGGUUGAGAUUGAGCAAACUGUACUCGUUUGCAUGUGGAAAGACAUCUUUAAAGGGUGAUCAGUCCCAGAUGGGGUCACCUGGAUUUUCAAGGGUAGUUCACUGCAAUGAACCAGACUGUUUUGAGGCAAAGAUUAGGAAAUAUAGUAGCAACUAUGUUAGUACUACCAAGUAUAAUGUUGCUACUUUCUUGCCCAAAUCAUUGUUUGAGCAGUUCAGAAGAGUGGCUAACUUCUAUUUCUUGGUUGUGGGUGUCCUGGCCUUCACUCCUCUUGCACCUUACACAGCUGUCAGUGCUAUCUUCCCCCUUAUUGUUGUUGUUGGAGCUACCAUGGUUAAAGAAGGUAUUGAAGAUUGGAAGAGAGCUCAGCAGGUAUGAUUUUUAUAUUUCAUCUGUUUUCUAAGUUUGAUAUGUUUAUUGAUUAUGGUUUGAUGUGUUUCAGUAAUGUCUUCUUGACUUGUUCUCAUAGAGAGAAGUUUCAGAUUACUGUACUGAUUGAAUGGUAUUUGUAUGAUUUGAUGAUGAAAUCUUGGGAUAAUUUUGAUACUACUACUGGAAAUUUUCAUUUGUUUCAAAUUACUGUACUGGUUGAAUGGUAUUUGUAUGAUUUGAUGAUGAAAUCUUGGGAUAAUUUUGAUACUACUACUGGAAAUUUUCAUUUGUUUCAAAUUACUGUACUGGUUGAAUGGUAUUUGUAUGAUUUGAUGAUGAAAUUUUGGGAUAAUUUUGAUACUUCAUUUGGAAUUUUUAGUUUUCUUUGCUUGACAUAUCUGGGAAAUCUUUUGCCUAGAAGUUUAAUAAGGUUUUAGAUGACAGUGAUAAACUAAAUGAAAGUUUUGACAUGUUACUGACGGAGUCUUUAGAGAAAAAAAAAAGACCUUUCUUUUUCAAAAAAUUAAGAAUUGGAGAUAGUUGAUAAAUUAUAUCUUCAAUAUGUCUGGGGAGAGAUGGACCGGAACUUUAGCUCAUUUUUAAAGAUUCAUGUCAUCUUUUCCCAGACUUUGUGUAAUUUGUAAAAGUAGUGAAACAUCACAUACAGGAUGAGCCUUCUGCUCUCUCACAGGGUAAUUUGUGCUACACUGUUUAGCAUCGAAACUCCUUUUCCCAAAUAGCAGUCCUGUUUAUAUUGUAUAUGUUUUACCUGCAACUUUUUAAAUGCUUCCAUGUUCUCAUGCAUGUUAUUAGAGAUGUCUAUAUCGAAAAUGAUAAUUAUGCUGAUCAUCCAUCUUCUAUUGAAAUUUCUCAUAUCUGAUCUAUACUUUUGCUUUCGGAAUGCCUUCUCAGGAUAUUGAGAUGAACAGUAGAAAAACUAGACUGCACCAGGGUGAUGGUACUUUCAAAUCCACUGGAUGGAAAAAUCUGAGGGUGGGAGAUAUAGUGAAGGUGAAGAAGGAUGAAUACUUCCCAGCAGAUCUCCUCUUGCUCUCAUCAACUUAUGAUGAUGGAAUCUGCUAUGUUGAGACCAUGAAUCUAGAUGGAGAGACAAAUUUGAAACUGAAACAGGCAUUGGAGUCAACUGCAUUCAUGCACGAGGACUCUUACUAUCGGGAUUUCAAGGCUCUUAUCAAAUGUGAGGAUCCAAAUACAAAUUUGUACUCAUUCGUUGGAACUCUGGACUUUGAACAGAACCUGUAUCCCCUGUCUCCUCAACGGCUUCUCCUCAGAGACUCAAAACUCAGAAAUACGGAGUAUAUAUAUGGGGCAGUUAUCUUCACUGGACAUGACACUAAGGUUAUGCAAAAUUCUACAGCCCCCCCUUCGAAGAGAAGCAAAUUUGAGAAGCAGAUGGAUAAAAUUGUUUACUUCUUGUUCUUUGUUCUAUUUAUGAUGGCAUUUAUUGGAUCUCUUGUUUUUGGAGUUGCAACUGACAAUGACUUGGAUGGCCAGAGGAUGAAAAGGUGGUAUCUCAAACCAGAUGAGUCUACGAUUUACUUUGACCCUAAAAGAGUGGUCAUGGCAUCACUUUAUCACUUUCUGACUGCUCUCAUGUUGUACAAUUACUUCAUCCCAAUCUCCUUGUACGUGUCAAUAGAAGUCGUCAAAGUUUUUCAGAGCAGUUUCAUCAACAACGAUAUCAAUUUGUACUAUGAGCCAUCUGACAGGCCAGCACAUUCUCGCACCUCAAAUUUGAAUGAGGAACUUGGGCAAGUGGACACAAUACUUUCUGAUAAGACCGGAACAUUGACAUGCAAUUCCAUGGAGUUCAUCAAGUGUUCUGUUGCGGGGACUGCUUAUGGCCAUGGGGUUACAGAGGCUGAACGGGGAAUGGCUAUGAGAGAAGGUGAAAGUGUGAAUGGUUGGGAUCAGAGCAAGGAUUCUUCCAGUACAAAACCACAUGUUAAAGGCUUUAAUUUUAAAGAUGAAAGGAUUAUGGAUGGGAAGUGGGUCCAUGAACCCCAAGCUCACAUCAUCGAAAAAUUCUUCCGCUUGUUGGCAAUCUGUCACACCGCCAUACCUGAUGUGGAUGAAGAAACAGGGAAGAUUUCAUACGAAGCUGAAUCACCAGAUGAGGCAGCAUUUGUGAUUGCUGCAAGAGAAAUUGGUUUUGAAUUCUACAAAAGGACACAAACAAGCGUUGCAGUGCGUGAGUACAAUCCAGAGACUGGUAGGAAAGUGGAAAGGGUGUAUACAGUUUUGAAUGUUUUGGAGUUUAACAGUGCAAGAAAGCGAAUGUCUGUGAUAGUAAGAAAUGAGGAGGGAAAAUUACUAUUACUUAGUAAAGGAGCUGACAGGUUUGUGAUCAACUACCUUGAUACCCUUCACACUGGCAAAUUCCUUAUCUUUUAAUCUAUUGCUUAUUAAUUAAAUUAACCUUUAUCCUAUGCAGUGUCAUGUUUGAAAGGCUUGCUAAGAGUGGUAGGAAGUUUGAAGAGGAAACCAGGAAUCACGUGAAUGACUAUGCUGAUUCUGGCCUGAGGACCCUCAUACUUGCCUAUCGUGAACUUGAUGAAGAAGAAUACAGAAUUUUUAACCAGAAAUUCACCGAGGCUAAGAAUUCAGUUAAUGCAGAUCGGGAAUCAUUGAUUGAUGAAGUGGCAGAGAAGGUUGAGAGGAAUCUAAUUCUUCUUGGUGCAACUGCUGUUGAGGACAAACUCCAAGAAGGGGUGAGUAAGAAAACCUAAAAUGUUUUGAAAUAAACUAGCCUCUUUAGAGAUUUUGAAUUUAUUUUUCUAUUGUACCCAUUAGGUUCCUGCCUGCAUAGACAAACUUGCUCAAGCUGGAAUUAAGAUCUGGGUUUUGACUGGAGACAAAAUGGAGACUGCCAUCAAUAUUGGGUAUGUUAUUUUGAAACGGGUGUUUGUUUUGAUGCGUUUAAGAUGGACUUUACAGUUUGUAUCAUACGUGGAGGUGUCUGACUUCAAAAUUUGAAUAUGCAGCUUCUCCUGUUGUUUGCUUAGACAAGGAAUGAAGCAGAUCAUAAUCAAUUUGGAGAAUCCAGAGAUCCUAUCAUUGGAAAAAACAGGAGACAAGGAUACCAUUGCUAAGGUAAAGACUGCUUUAAUUCAUCAUGGAUUUCAAUCCACUUCAGAUUACUUGUGAUAGGGAUUUAUUUUCCUUUUCUCUGGGUGUCAUCUUGGUGGGAACAAGGGGAUGUUGAAGUUGAAGAUGCACCUUAAAUUAUUAUGAAUCUAUAUGUGAUAUUGAUGGGAUACAUGUUCAUUUUCCAGGCAUCAAGGGAAAAUGUUCUUCGUCAAAUAACUGAUGGAAAGGCUCUGCUUACUGGACCAAGUGGAACCGCUGAGAUAUUUGCAUUGAUAAUUGAUGGAAAAUCACUUGCUUACGCAUUGGAGGAUGAUAUGAAGCAUUUGUUUCUAGAUCUUGCUAUGAGUUGUGCUUCUGUGAUUUGUUGCCGUUCAUCACCAAAACAGAAAGCACUGGUGGGUUAUCAUUCUUUCUGUAGUUUUUCUCUUCUGUAGGCGCAUUUGUUAUUAGAUACUGAAGACCUUCUAUAUGCUUUUCUUGAAGGAAUAAUUGUUUUAAAUUGUAAAAUACAGGUUACGAGACUAGUCAAAAUUGGAACCAGGAAAACAACAUUAGCAAUUGGUGAUGGUGCCAAUGACGUGGGUAUGCUUCAAGAAGCAGAUAUUGGAGUUGGAAUCAGUGGUGUUGAAGGCAUGCAGGUCCUCUCCACAGAAAAGCUUACAUCCAUUUUAAUUGUUGUAAAUAUUUCUCUACCUGCUUGUAAUUUACUGACUUUUAACCCUAUUUUAUGCCUGUUUUCAACUCAGGCUGCCAUGGCAAGUGAUGUCGCAAUUGCUCAGUUUCGGUAUUUGGAGCGUUUGCUACUCGUACAUGGGCACUGGUGUUACAGGAGGCUCUCAUCAAUGGUAAGGCCAUUUGUACAUUUGGAAUUGGACUUGGCUUCAACAUUUUCAGUAGUAGCCUUAUAUAACUUUAAUGAUUAUUGAUGCACGUCGCAUGCGAUCAUGAGUUUAUUCCUUUUCAUGAUUAUCACUGAUUUUUUUUUCCAUACGCAGAUAUGCUACUUCUUCUACAAGAACAUUGCCUUUGGUUUCUCCAUUUGGCUAUAUGAGGCAUAUACAUCAUUUUCCGCACAGUCUGUAUACAGCGAUUGGUUUUUGUCAUUUUAUAAUGUCUUCUUCACGGCUCUUCCAGUUGCUGCUUUGGGUAUCUUUGAACAGGAUGUAUCUGCUGCAAGCUGUCUCAAGGUAUCUCGCUCACUUACUUUGCAGACUCAAUUAUGGUCAUUAAAUGGUUAGUAAAGUAGAAGUAAACAUCUUGGUCAAAUUUUGGUCAUUUUUUGACUUCUUUCAUAUUUCAGUAUCCUCUACUAUACCAAGAAGGUGUGAAAAAUCUCCUCUUUGGCUGGCGCCGAGUACUUCAUUGGCUGGGUAAUGGGUUCUACACUGCAAUGGUCGUUUUCUUCUUCUGCACAAGUGCACUGCAGCACCAAGCCUUCACCCGUGAUGGAAAAACUGUUGGGAUGGAAGUUUUAGGAGGCACUAUGUAUACUUGCAUUGUGUGGGCUGUGAACUUGCAGAUGGCACUGUCUGUUUGUUACUUCACCAAAAUACAGCGUGGCCUAAUUAUAUAUUGUCUUUGUAUGUUGUACAUUUUCUUCUUGGCAUUUGGGUCCCUGUCUCCAUCAAUGUCAAAAACUGCUUACAAACUCUUCACAGAAGCCCUCGCCCCAGCUGCUUCGUACUGGUUUACAAUCAUAUUUGUGAUAAUCGCAGCACUGUUGCCUUUCUAUGCAUAUUCAGCAAUUGAAACAAGGUUCUUUCCCAUGUACCACCAGAUGAUACAAAGGUUAGAGAGUGGGAAACACGAAGAUGAUCCUGAGUACUGUGAUAUGAUGCGACAAAGGUUAUUGCGGCCACCAACAUCAGUAGGUUUCUCAGCACGCUUGGCAGCACGAGCGAAUAAGUUAAGACGCAAGAACAAGAAUCAGCCACGAUAAUGGCUAAUUAUUCUUGGAGGGUAUCUGUCAAUGUUUCUGGGUUGUGGUCAUCUGCUCAAAAUCCGAGUCCCCGCUGUCUAUGACUUCUGAGGCUUCUACUUGACCAGAAGGUUUGCCCUGCAAAUUAGGAAUUUUUGGUGACUUUUUUUCUGGAAGCAUCUUUCAGCUGUACCAUACGUGGAACAGGAAAAUUAUGCCAAAAGGAAUUUAAAUUUUGUUUGUUGUACUUUUUAAAAGAAAUAUAAUGUUUAUACCGACUUGUAUUAUUUUACAAUGUAUGUAGGAAACAAGGGAAUUCGUAGUAGAUUUGGAAUGUAUUGCUGUUUAUAAGAAUAAACUUUCUCUGUUAUUGUAAUUUGUAGCUCUAUUCAGUUCAUUAUUUGUUGGUGCUUCUUAAUAAACAUGGAUUCUUUUUAAUUGACUACAACUCAUGGAGUAGGUUUUUAUUUUCCCGUCUCUGUUUCUCUGGGCUUGGUAAAUUUGUUGAAUCUCCUGAAGCACACAGCGGAUGUCUUGCUUUUAAUUGCAGUCAGAAAGUUAAAACAGCAGGCGGCCAAACACCCUCUUAUUCUUGGUUGAACAUUUGCAAUAAUCAGUGAUCGGAGCUUGAAAUUCUCGGAAAUAUUGCCAUUUCUCUUCUCCAUCUUGGUGCUCUUGGGCAUAAUGUUGUUUCCUUGGCAAAAAAUAUGGCAAUAAAAUUGCCUGUUCUUUCCCUAUGAAACACCACAGCGGGAGCGGAGCUUGUAAAUGAACUUUCUUAUCUCCCUGGUUUGAUUUCAAGAUGAGUUAGGAGCACAAAAGUUUUGGCCCUAGUCUCAGUGGUUCAGGUUUGAGUUUUAAAUGAGUCAAUUUGAUCCAUAUUAUGUUUUCUUUAUCAAUUUAAACCGUUACUGUAGAUUCUCUUUCCAUCUCUCGCAUUUGAUUAGCAUUUUGUAUUCAACUCUUGAGAGCCCGUUCAGUCAAUUUCUGCAGAAAGCAGGGAUCAUCAGAACAGAAUAUCGAUUAACGGGCAUAAUUUACAUCAUACGGUUGUUUUGUUACUGAAAAAAUAUACAAAACCAGGAUCGAGUGGCUGCUGUGGAUGUAAGUUAUACGGAUAAAUGCAUGCCAUCGGCCAUCAUCAGUAUGUGCAAGAAACCGACAUCAAUAUCUCAAAAAAAGGAGAAAAUAAAACACCAUGCCUUUUUUUUUUAUAUGAUAAAUGAAGAUUUAAUUUAUCCAAAAAGAGACAAGUAGGAAUUCAUCCUACUACAAAGUUUAGGCCAUCAGCAUGUACAUCUUUUAUGUCAACUAGCUAUAACAACAUCCACUGAUUACAAAUAUAAGAAAAACUAGGAUUCAGAUGAGCUUCCUCAAGUAUCUGUGCCUUGUAUAGUUCCCCAAAGCACCUUAUCCUCAGACAAACGAUCAGGAUAAAUAGCACCCACAUAUAGCCAUUUGUAGUCUAAGCAAAGCUUCAGAAAAGAAACUAGGCCAUACCCAAUUGCCAUCUCUCAAGACUGCUAACAACUUAGCAUUAAAUAGAAUUCCAGAUUCGAACAGUAUCCUCUAUCCAUAGGAUUUAACAAGCACACCAUCUGGAUGCCACCACAGUUGAGUAGUUUUUCCAUCUCCCACAAUGUAGUGACUUUGAUCCCAAACAAACUUUCUGAACUUGAGAAGCCUUUUCCAAUACCAAGUGGAGUCCCCUGUUAUUUUCAAACCCCAAAAGCUUCUCCCUUUCAAUCUAUUAACAGUCACCCGCGCUACCAUAGAGAUCCUGCCUUCAUAAACAAAUCCAAAUACAUCUAAAAAUGAAGGCAACAUUCCAUUCUUUGAUCCUUUUUACCCCCAAUCCACCCUCGUGCUUGGGCAACGUAACUUUGCUUCAAGCAACUUUAGCUCCUCUGGCAGGCCCCUCUUUAACCUUCCAUAGAAAAGCAUUACACUGCUGCUCUGUAACCUUCAUUACUCAUGCUGGCAACAACACCGAUAGUUCUGAAUGCUAAAGAUGACAGAUGAUAUUAACUGUAAUCUUCCAGCAAAUGAAAGAUUUUUUUUUUGCCCAUUUCUGAAGUCUUGAAGAUAUUCUGUCCAGUGAAGGCUUGCAAUCUGUGUAAGCCAGCUUUUUCGUAAUUAACGGAACACCCCAAAUAUUUUACAGGCAGUUUACCAAUCUUGAACCCAGUAACAACCAGCAUAGAAUGAGAAAUAGAAGCAUCUACCUCAGCACAGAAAAUUCACUCUUCAAAGGAUUGCGCUUUAAUCUAGACAAACAAUAGAAUUGAUGAAGGAUGUCUGCAACUUUUUCAAGAGAAUCCACUGUUCCUGUUGUAAAGAUCAUUAAAUCAUAUGCAAAACACAAAUAAGUAAGAUUGAUCUUUUUACAUUUGGGAUGGUUAGACAGUUGGCCUCCCAUAGCUGAUCUAUUUAGUAGGCAAGAAAGAAUCUCCAUGGCAAAUACUAACAAGUACGGAGACAAUGGAUCUCCUUGCCUCAAUCCUUUACUGCCAGAAAAAAUAUCUGUGCAAGCUUCCAUUAACCACAAUAGAGAAAGAUGGAGUUGUAACACAGCCUUGAUCCGAGCAAUGAAUUUAGCAGGGAUAUUAAUAGCUUCUACGAAAUUAAACAGAAAAUCCCAAUGUACGGAGUCAAAAGCUUUCAUCAAGUCAAUUUGAGAGCACAACUGGGAGGCCUAUUUUUCCUAAGAUAGCCUUUCACCACUUCCUGAGCAAUCAAUAUGUUAUCUCCUAUUCUCCUGCCAUAUAUAAAUGCAGACUGGUUUAAACUAAAAAGAUAAGGAAGGAAAACUCUUAGCCUAGUGGCUAGUAUCUUAGUGAUGCAUUUAUAAAAAACUGUGCAGCAAGAUAUAGGCCUUUUUGGCACAAGAGUAAUAACUGUGGAAUUUACUGCUUUAAGCAACUUUCUUUGUUGAAAGAUAUUAGAUACAGCUGCAACAACGUCUUCACCGACAAUAUUCCAAGAUUUCUUAAAUAAAUCAGCUGAGAAUGCAUCAGGGCCAGGUGCCUUGUUACUUUUUAGAGAAAACAUGACUUUCUUAAAUUCAGGAGUAACAUCAGCAAUCAUUUAUUGCUUCAAAUGAUAAGAAAGCCUCUUAUUCAAGAUGCAUUAAAAAAAAGCCACACUUUCACCGGAAACUGCAUUAUCCAUAUCACCCAGCAACUUUUGAUAAAAACCAAUUAUCUCCACUUGAAUUUCUAGAGGAGAAGAUAAUCCAGAUCCAUAAGAAGCAUAUAGAAGUGAGAUAUUGUUCUCUUAUCCAACAUGGAUUUUUUUAAAAAAAACAUCGUACAUUGCCAUAAACAUAGUUCUAUAUAUUUUCAGUUGUAGAGUUUGUAUCCCAUGGUCUUAUUCAUAGCAAUCCAUUUACAGACUAACAACUACCCUUUUGCCCGUGGAUCAUUGGAUCUAGUUUCGUGCAUUCAGAGGCCGAAUUGCUUUCUCAAUUGCGGACCCUGGACCUCGAAUGAUAUCGCAUCCGGUUUCCGUACUUUCAUGGAUUGGUGAUGCCGCCAGUAAUGUCAUGUGUAGCAGAAAAAUUAGUGAAGAAAAUCUUGGAAACUAGUAGAUAAAAUGUUAUUUUCAUGUUAUUUCGUUUUGCAAAUAAUACCAACCACUACAAUAAAUAUAACAUCAUACAAUCUACAAGUUGUGUUGAUAGUUGUUUCAAGUGGGAUUCAGGUCUCUUCUCCUCCUUCCAUCUUGUUCACAGGAAUCCCAUGACCAGACCUUAAAAAAUAUUACAUUUACACAUACAAGAAAUUACAAGAAAAAUCAAAUGGAAAAAAAAGAAAUAAAUAAAAGAAAAGGUCAUAGGAUCAUCUCAAACCAUCAAUGAUGCUAACGACACAUUAAUGGAUAUUGCAGUUCCCAAUGUCUAUGUCCAUGUAUUAACAAGACUAUUCUCAUCAUGCUCAAUGGAACUUUGAUGCCAUGAAAAUCAGCAGCGGAUUUAGCCAUGAUGUUUGCAAACUCGUCAAAACUCAAAACACCAUCUCCAUUGGUGUCAGCUCUCUCAUCAUAUCUGAUAUAGCUCACGAUAUUUCAAAGGUUGUCCCAUUUUAGCCAUCGAUCCUGCAAGCUCAGCAGCAGUAAUGAAUCCAUUGCCAUCCCUAUCAAAUGAUCGAAAAACCUCCAAAAACUGCUCCUGGUUGAUCAAGACUUCUUCAUUCAUAUCAGGCAAUAUAGCAUUAACCAACUCAUUAAAUUCAAUGUGACCAUUGCCAUUAGCAUCCAUGUUAGAUAACAAAGCAUGAAGCUGAUAACCUGUAGGUUUGAGGCCAAGAGAACGUAGAAGAGCAGCGAGCUCUAGAUGCGUAAGGAUGCCAUCGGAAUCCAUAUCGAAGCGCAUGAAGACUUCCUUGAACUGAUCGGUCUGAGGGGUUGCCAUCAUGGCUGGAAAUGGAGGAGGUGAAAGAAAAGGAAAGGAAUUUUUUUUUUUAUGUAUCUGUAUUUUGGCUGGCCAAGGAUGUGGGGCUUAAUUUUUAUUUUAUUUUUCUUGUUCGUGUGUUGUCUUGAAGACUUGGAAUACUGGAAUGGUUCAAACCAAAACCGCUUUUAUAUCAUUGCCGUGUUAUGUGGGGAUAAAAAGAGCAAAGGUAUUCAAGUAUUGAAGUUUCUGAAAAUGUGUUUGUGCACAUGAGGGCAUGUGGAUUGGUGGUAUAUCCUAAGAGAUUUAGCCUGCUUGUUAAAAUGUUUAUUCUAGCACUUGCUAACUAUAUUUGUUCUCCAUGUUGUCAUUUAAGAUUGAAGAUGAAAGAAAAAUGACAACGAAUAUGGAUAUGGCUUGCUUAAAAUUCAACAGAAAGAAAGAUUUAAUCUUAGUGUGCAGAAACUAGAUUAAAUAUAUCCUCGUUGUUUUAUUGAAUGGACUGUCCUGGGUAGCAUGGGUUGAAAGUUAUUUCUCCCGUUGAAUGUUCAUAUUUCUGAGAGAAUUCAGAGCAUUUUGUGGUCAGUAGUUGACAAGCAAAAACUAUUCAGGAAAUCAAGCCAGUUCUUAAAACCAACAAUUAAUCAAACCCCAUCUGAAAUGAUUCUCAUUCCAAUACACCCCCACGACAUUAAUUGUGGAAAAUUAUUGCAUAUGUCCAAUGCAGCUUGGAACCUUCUUAGAAAAUCACCACAUUUAUCCUUUAUGAUUAAGGGUACUGAAAUUGUAUUUUGCCGAUAUUGGCAUUCUAGUCUCAUUGUUCAUGUAAGAGCAAAAUAGCCUAAUGAUGAGUAAAGAAUGACUUGGAUGCAAAUUUCUAAUCAAGUGGAACUACUACGGAUAUAUACAAUAAAUUGGAAAUGGAACUUACUUUUUUGCUUUAUUAAUAUGAAUGCCUGAAAGAUGUACUGAUUGUUUCAACCACUUCAAACUGUGCAAAACUUAAAUCAAAUUCCUGCACAGCUACUAUACAUGCUGGAGAGGUCCCUGAUCCAACCCUACCCCAAAAGCUUCCGAAAGCAAACUCCCCCUUCUGAGAAAAACCUUCUAAGACUUCCUCAACUUCCUCAAUGCAGCUCUCACAAUCAUGCCCUCCAUGGAAGUCAUCUACUUGGAUUUCUAUAGACCCUUCUAGAAAUUUAUCAAAACUAUCCUGGAACCUACCCCUGACCGAUUCUAAUAUCUUCUCUUUCUUUCUGUGCCAAAGCUUCUUCUUAGCAUAUGCUCUGGUCUUCUGAAUGACUUUGCGGGGAAGUUUGAGCAAGACGAAUAUGAUCGAUUGUAGUAUCAAGCAUUGGCAGCAACAAGAUAUGACUACACAAUCUGCGGCCAGCAUGUUCAGAUCUUCCAUGGAUGUCAAAGAUGGGAGAAGGAAGGGGAUGAUGUUGAUGAAGAAGAAUGGUUGAUGAAGGUAUGUCUUGAUAAGGAAUACGUUCCUUGUCCUCAUUGGAGGUUAAUCAGAAAGGGUAAAGCAAACAGAAUGAUAUGUGGCAAAGCUAAAAAAAGGGAGGCAAUUAGUCAUGAAUUAAAAGAUUACAUGCUGCAUUUCCUGAAAUGCAGCCAUAGCUUUUAGUUUGGGUCAUUGCAUACAAUAGAAUAUUGGACGUAAAGGGAAACAUAGGGCGUCCAGAUGUUGUUGCUUGAAACAUACUUUUCUUGGGAAUUAGAUGGUUGCUUGUAUGACCUCAAGCCUUGCCUUGAGUGUUUUGAAGUGUCUUCAAGAUUCUCUCCCCUACUCAAGAAUUGAAAUUAACAAAAAUUAGUCACUGUCUAUGCGAUGGCUUUCUUCACAAGCUUUUCCCUCGAGUUAUCCGAACUUGGUUCCAUUCACUUUACAUGGUUCGUAAGUUUAACAUUAUCUCUCUGUCGGAAUUUUUUUGUGGUCCUUUAUCUUGGAUGGUUGUAUGUAAGAAGUAUGUAACAUUUCCUUUUCCGCUAAGAAAUUAUGGGUGUGCAUUUAUUCUUCUAAAACGAAUUACCUGAACACUCUAAAAAAACUUAGUUUUACUGUUCAGCACUAUGAUAUAUUUUUUUAACCCAGCUAUGAUGUGGGAAAACCAAUUUAACCCAGCUACCAGUAUUAAGGGCUUGAAAUCCAAUCCCUACAGCAGAGAGUUAAUUUCAGAGACCAUCCUGUACAUCUUGAGCUUGUAUAGGCUCCAUCUCGAAAUUCAUGAGUCCUGCUGCUGUUUGUCGAAGAAUUCAUCUCUAACACUAUUUACCAUGUGCUCUUUAAGUAUCCGGGCUAAAAAAAUCUGUACUGUAAUUUUGACUACCAAAUGCCAUCCUUCGAAAUAGUCUGAUUUCUUCAGAUUGUUGUGCAGAGUUAAAUAACUCACUUUCUCCUACUCUCAUUCCAUUGGUUAGAUCAGCAUUUGCCAAGGUAUGGAAAGCUCUAACAACCUGAGAAGCAUAUGCAGGCUUAAAGAAAUGCAUCCCACCAUCUCCAAAUCUGAACAUUUAAUGAUAAAAGCAAGAUUUUUCAUCUAGUUCUGCGAUCAAAUUGCAAUUACCUGUCCCAUCCGUGGCCUCUUAGUAGCUGAAUGCCGCACACAGACUGCAGCAGCCUCAAUCAUCUGGAACAUUUCACUUUCAAUGUAAUUCUUUUCAAGCCGUGGAUCUGCCAAGCUUUCAAAUUCCUCAUUUUCUAGUGCAUGAUUUAGCAAAGGUCGAGCCUGAAAGAAAAGGUACGCUUUGGGUGAGAAGAUUUCGAGAACAAAAUUGUGGAGGAUCAAAUACUAGCUUAACAUAUAGAUCUAUUUCUUUGAACACGUGCAUUUUUUUUCCCUUUCUUUUUCUUUAUGUAGAUACAAAAGGAGAUUACAUUAUUGAAAAGAGAACAAAAGAAAACUACAAAAAGCAGGAUUAUGUAUUCUCCACCAAAAAGAACAGAGAAGACGAAACGACGUCAAGACAAUUUUUAAAGACAUACCAUUGUUUCAACUCUGUGCAUUUGUUUUAUCAGUUACCCAUUUUUUAUCAUUCAUGCACUGAGGAAUAUCAUGAUCAUGUACUGAAUUUAAUUCAAGGUUCAGAAAAAUUAGUCCUAGAUCUGGGAUGGCUUUCAAUUUUCGAUGUACUGAGUUAUUUUCAUCAGUUAAAAAUCUAUACAUGAUUAGAGGCCACAGUCCACAGAACCCCUUCCCCCCACCGUGCAUAUACUAAGGAACAGCAUCCACUCAUCAAGCAAAUCUUCCAAACAACCUAAUUCUAAAAUAAGCACACCUGUUCCUUAAAUCAAACCACUACGGGUAUAUAUAAGAAGUUUAAAACAAACUCUCUUCGAAACAGAUCUAGAAGCCCUGUUUCUAUUACUCUUGUAACUAAUGUUCUAAAAAAUGUGACAGUUUCAGCAACAUCUACUGGUAUCAAAGCUAAGCAGUCAGAAACCAUAAAAACUUUUUACUCAAACUAAGCCAUAUCAACACAUCACAGAUAAGUAGCAACUUCAGGAAAAAUGAUCUGAUUGAGUUUAUCAUUUAUGCAUGCUGAAAUAAAAGGCACAUCUAUAGGAUAGAUCUGCUCAGCAGACAAAGAAAGCUAAGCACAAGGUCAAUACAGAGAGUAAUUGAUCUGUCAAUAAAAUUGUCAUUCAAGCCCUUAAUACUUGUAACUAGGUUAUUGGAUGUAUCUAUAAUGCAUGCUUCAAUGAACAAUCAACAAUUCAUUAAAACUGAAUGAGACUUUCUUUCAUCAGCUGAACAGUCAGGGUGCACAAACAAUUUACCCAUUCAACAAGACUCUCGUCUCCCACGGGCUGCGAUGCAUCCACAGGCUUCCGUCCAGUGAUUAGCUCCAGAAGCACAACUCCAUAAGAGAACACAUCAGAUUUAUCUGUUAAUUUGCCGCUUGAUGCGUAUUCAGGGGCCAUGUAUCUGAGCAAUCAAUUAAACAUUAGAUGCAAUGCACAUAGACAUGGCUGAUAUAUGUUCAUUCCACUGGAAAAGAAAAUAACACACAGCUGUACUUCAAAAACAGUAUUCCCAUCAACUCCCAACUGACUGAAGCCCUCCCUCCAGAAAAAAAUAAAAGAGAGAGAGAGAGAGAGAGUAGGGGUGCCUCUAAGUAGCCCUGUAGUGGCAGGUAUUUAAGCAAAUAAUAGGUGAGUUAUUACCCAAAGGUUCCCAUAACACGCGUUGUUACAUGAGUGUUUGUAUCGAGAGCUAAUUUGGCAAGCCCAAAGUCUGAAACCUGCAAAGUAAAAUCUAGAAGCAUUUAAACAACAAUCUACUUGAAACUAAUCAUCAAUAAAUGGUAAAGGGAAAACUGUGAAUAAUCAGAAGCUAAAAACCAUGCAUACCUUAGCUUCGAAGUUGAUAUCUAAAAGAAUGUUUGACGACUUAAUAUCCCUGUGAAUAAUCCGAGGGUGACCUAAACAUAUAAUAGUAAAUCAAAUGAAUAAUACCUACUACACCAUCUGCAGUCGAUUAAGUGUUUUCAUUCAAUAUUUUAGUGUAAGAAACCAGUGCAUCUAUCAAUGAUCACAUGGAUGAGUUCUUAUCAGCAUGUUCUUAACUCUAGGAACAUCAGUAGUACUAAAACUGGCAUGCUCAUACUAAUCUUGAUUAAGAUGAAAUUCUGCUUAUGCUUUUAGGAUGAGAAUAUUGUAAAAUCCUUCAGUUAUUAGAUCUUUGUUUUUUAUUAGUGAAUGUUGGAUCAUAACAUUUGAAAAUGAAGAGCAGGUACGAGUGGAUAGCUUAAGAAAACAGUUGCCAUGUGUAGAUAAAGAAUAAAAAACAGGUGAAUAAUGUCUUGAACUCAUUUUGGAAGUGAGAGUGAACAUUAUCCAGCUACUAAAAUCCAGACUUGAAAUACUUACAAUCUUCAUGGAGAUAAGCUAACCCCCGAGCUGCACCAGCAGCAAUCUUAACACGUGUUGCCCAGUCCAGAGCUGGCCUACCCACCUCUACAGAAAGAAAGACCAACAUGCAUGACUGAUGAACCAUUUUGAUGAACUGACAUGCCAAAUCUCAGUUAUAAGACAUAGCUUUACCAUGAAGAUGGAAAUGAAGGGUAUUGUUAGGGACAUAAUCAUAUACGAGCAAUCUUCGGGUCUCAGAUAUGCAGUAGCCCACAAGUGAAACCAAAUGGCGAUGGUGUAUACGACUAAUAAUCUCGACUUCAGCUUUAAAUUCUCGCUCACCUUGCCCUCCACCAAUUUUCAGCUGUUUCACUGCCACGUCUCUCCCAUCUGGUAGGUAACCUUUAUAUACAGUACCAAAUCCACCUUCUCCCAAAAGGUUUUGGGAUGAAAACCCAUUUGUCGCCUUGACUAGCUCUUCAAACGCAAACAAAGGCCCUGAAUUACCUAAUCCACUUGAUUCAGGUGGCAAAGAAAAACAAUCACUGCUAGAACCACUUGCUAUUAGGGGAGCUGUAGACUGAGUCUUUGUGAAAGUUGAACCUGAGGAGACAAAUUUAAACCUUAGAGUUCUUGUCAACAAUAUCAUUCAAAGUGCUUAACAAUAAUCUCAUUAAAUGCAAGUCUGCUAGGAAUAGAUUACCGUCUUGAUAGGUGAGCUGACAAUAAAUUAACCAAUUAUUUGUAUUCUUUUAAGUUUUAAGGUCAAAAUGACCAUAUGAUUUACAUAUAACCCUUUGUAUUUGUUAGACUAUUAACCAGAAGAUAUGCUCUAGAAAAAUUUGAUUGCAAAUCAGACGCAGUACAAAUUGCAAAGGUUAUAUCAAAUUAUGAGAACAAACACCAAUGAAAGUUUUGGACGUGACAGAGAAAAAACCUCUUGGCAGAGUUACCAAUAGCAGUACUUAUUGAAUAUGAGUGAUACUGUUGCAAAAAGUCAUAACAUGUUAAAGAAGAAAUGGCGAAAUGCUGUUUGAAAUAUAUACCUGAUCUUGGAGAAGAGCCCAAAGAAGAUGGCAUAACAUAAACACCAUUCAGUCCAGAAAUCUCUUUUCGCUGCUUCCUCAUGCACCAGAGAGCCAAUCCAACGAGGAUGAGCAUUAUAAUUCCUAUUGCUGCACCAAUAGCCACUAUACCUCCAAUACCAAUGCCCCCAUUACCUGUGGAGUUUGAACUCUCGGGUGAAUUAGGGGCAGUAUUGUUCGUGGGUGAUGGCGGGGAAACAAGUGAGGGUGGAGGUGGAGACAGUCUUAUUGUUGGUGGUGACAAUGCUGGUGGAGUAGAAUAUGAUGGGACAGGUGGUGGUAGAGGAGCAGUUGCAGUUGGAGGAGUAAGCAUAGGAGGUGGCGGCACAUUACUGGGAAGAGGGGCUAUUGAUGCUGGUGGAGGUGGUGAAUUCUCAGGUGGAGUCGAUGCUGGCGGUGGAUGUGAUCUUCGAGGAGGUGAGACAGAUGCUGGUGGUGGGGGAGGAUUGGUAGGCAGUUGUGAUGGGGUUGGAGGAGGCGGUGGUGGUGAAUUUUGAGGUGGCCUUGAUGAGGGUGGUGGUGGAGGUGAACUCUGAAGUGGCGGUGUUGAUGGUGGUGGUAAACUUUGAGGUGGUGGUAUUGAUGAUGGUGGUGGAGGGGAACUUGUAGGUGGAUUCACCAGUGGUGGUGGAGGUGAAAUUGAAGGUGGAUUAGAUGAGGGUGGUGGUGGGGGUGGGGGUGAGCUCACAGGCGGAGUUGCUGAUGGUGGUGGAGGAGAAUUGGAGUUGGGUGCACUACCGGAUAAAGGUGGAGAUUGCGAUGUCGUGGGUGGAGGGGUUAGUGGUGUGGCAGGAGGAGGAUUUGAAAGAGCGGGAGGAGCGGGUUGAGGUGGCGGGGGUGGAGUUGAAGGGUUUCUUGGGUUUGGUGGAUUGGCAUUGGGCUGUGAAGAUGGGGAAGUAGGAGGAGGAGGAGAGGAGGCUGGCGGCGAUGAGCUAGUAGUGGAUGGCGGGGGUGGUGUACUGUUUGAAGGUGAUGAAACAGCCAGGGGGGGUGAAUUUGGGGAUGGAGAUACAGUUGCCAUUACUUCAGAUCCAAAUCAAGUGAUUUUGAAUUACAAGUCAUGCAAUAAUUAACAUCACAAAAUUUUAAACCUCCAUUAAUUUUUCACUAUGUUUUCUCAAUUCAAGUACAGAAGGGUUUUUUUAACAAAACUCACAGAUCAAUUUCAAGAAGAACUUCCAAAAUUUACAAACUUUAAAACCAAGAGAGAUUCAAAUCACCGAACUUAACCAACUAAAGCCUGAAAAGUCACCAAACAUUCACAACAACCACUUUGGAGCCAGAACCUGAUCGCCUGGGCUAUUCAGCUAAACCCAGAACUCCAGUCUCUUUCCAGCUAAAACCCAGAUCACAUAUAUCACAAACCAAACCAAACCACAUCACUAGAGCAACCUUUUAAGCAACGCCCAUGUUACUAGAUUUAGUGUAAAAUAAAAAAGAUUCAGACUUUGAUCAGUAAACUGACUCCAGCAACACCAAUAAGAUCCUCUACAUUCAAUGAGAAAAUGCAGCAACACUUGCACCGUUGGUUUUUCUACAAACAAGAAACCGCGUGCCAAAAGCCCGAAAAACUAAAAAAAAAACAAAAAAAGGUACAAUUCCUCAACUUCUUCGGGUCAUUUGCGUUGCAGCAAAACUCUCUAGCACUCUUAAUCUCUGUCUUCCCUACAUAGGAAGUUCAAAUGAGGAACAAGAAGCAGCGAUGAUAGAGACCCUCAAAGCAGAAGAAUACUGAGGCAGGUUUUUUUAGCAUGAAUAGUAAACGUUAAGAUAUUUUUAAAAUCUUCGUAACGUAAGUGGUUGCGCUGCUUGUUAUGGGGGCGCGUGCAUACACGCUUCGAAUUUUGAUAUUAAUAUUUAAAAAGAAAACAUUAAGUUCUUUAAAAUAACAUGAAAAACAUUUUCUUAAGAUAAUUGAAAAAAAAAUAGUUUUAACUUCUUAUUAGCGAGGAAAUCAGAGCAUUAUCGUCGCCGUCAUGAUAAUAUUAUUAUUAAGGGUCCAUUGAUGCAAAGCACUGUCUUUGUGGUAACGUCAAGUCCAAGAUACACCGUAUGAACACGUGAAUUUUUAAAAAAAUAUAAAGAUGUCUGUCUUUAAAUUCAUCUGCAAUUAGAUUUUUUAUAUUAAUCUUGAGUAAAUGAUCUAUGUUUUGGCUUGUACAUUUAUAAAUCUUGUUUUCCAUUAUUUUUAAAAACCCUAAUAAAACUGAAUUCUGAGAGAUAACAUACGGAAUGAGCUCAUUCAUCGCAUUGGAAGGAGAAGAAAAGCAAAAAGAAUUGUUCAAGGUGAAGUGAAAGGUCUUCUUUCAUUGCUAAAUGUUGCUCUCUACGAACCGUGGACUCUCUUUUUUUCGGGUCUUUGUAUAUCAUAAAGUUAUUCCGUUCUUGAUGUUAAAACGACAGGUUUGAUAGAUGGAAGAGGAAAAAAACCCACCUUCCCCACAGAUAAUGAUUUCGCCUUCAAGCCUUGUUUGAUCCUAUAAACUAAUCCUUAAUGAUAUGUAAUAUGUUGUCUACUUAGACUUUUCUUUUAAUUUUUUUUUAUUAUUAAUAUGGGUGUCUGUGUUAGCUUGCGUAUAGCUCGACUGAUCCCACAGUCCCUGAAGUUAACGAUUAUGUAAAUCUUCGGUGGUCUUGAGAGGGCUCGAAUUCGUGAUUAUUAGGAAGCAAACUCAAGGUCUGACCAGUUGAGUUAUCUCUCAAGGUUCUUUUAAAUUUUAAUUUGUAUUGCAGUAGCGGUUGAUUUUUAAAGUUUUUUUAAAAAAAAAUAUUAAAAUAAUAUUUUUUUUAUUUUUAAUAUAGCGCAUCUAAAUGAUAUAAAAACACUUCAAAAAAAUAAUUUGAAAUAAAAAAAAUUAAAAAAUAUAUUUUUAAAAUACAAAAACAAACAUUCUCAUACAAAAUUAUUGAAUUAUUUGCUUCUUUGAUUCAACAUGGUGAUGACAAGCGUUGUUUCAUUUUAAUUUUCUCCAAUUAAAGGAACAAAUCAACACUGAUUGAUCUUGUAUAUUAUUUAUUAACUUAGAAAUACCCUCUGAUGAGUUCGAGGAGAUGCUCGGAGUAUAAUAUCGAGUAUGUUGAACUUUUUUUUUUAUUACUGAAAAACAUGACUCAAUAUGCAGCGCACGGGUGAAAUAGCCAGUAGAGACUAUUGGCAGCUUUAUCCACUUCAAGCUGAAGCUGUAGGUAAAGGAAGUGAGUGGAAGCUGGAAGGCAGAGAAAUUUUAAUAAAGAAGAGGAAAUAUGCUAACAUCAGGAUGGAAGAAGAGGGUCUCCCAAACACACACUGCCCGACCGAAAGGACAAAAAAUCUUAAGAGGUGGUGGCGGGCCUUUUUUGUCCAAUCAUAUUUGACAUAUCUAUGCCAACCCGUGAAACUUCAAAGUUUCAUCUUUCUUUUUUUUUUAAAUAAAAUAAAAUUCAAUUUGUCUAGACUGUGUCUGUUUUUUAGUGAAAAAAAUAUUUAAAAAAUUAUUAUUUUAAUAUGUUUUAAAGUAAAAAAUCAUUUAAAAAACAACCGCAAAUAUAAUACUAAUUCAGCUCUUAAUGUUUUUACAUUUUGACUCUUGAAGAAAUCUUACAUUAUUGAGAACCAAUCAUAUUAUACUUAUCCAUGAAUCGGUUUUAUUUUUUAUAUAUUUUUUAAAGUGUUUUUUUAUUUAAAAUAUAUUAAAAUAAUAUUUUUUUUAUUUUUAAAAUUUUAUUUUUAACAUCAAAACAAUUUAAUAUCAUACAAAAAUUUAAUUUAAAUUAAAAAAAUAAUAUUUUCCAAAAAUAUUUUUAAAACACCGAUGCUUUGAGGUGUCGGUGGAGGUCGAAGAAAGAAGCGCAAGCAGACCGUAAAUUUGACUGCACGCGUACUGGGUCCUUGAUCCAGGCAUGCACUUUGACAGCACGGAGAAACCCAGCAAACUACGCGUAAAAGUUAGAGAGUCAGGCCAUUGAAUCGCUGUUGGUGAACCAUAAAUAAUAGUAAUUAAUGUUUGGUAGCCUAGAGCUAGAGUCUAUCUCAAUUACUCAAUUAUUAACUAUGAAUUCUAUUUCUCGUAUAUAAAUGUGUGAACAUCUUGAAUGAUUCCCUGCAUAGGAAAAAGAUAGCUUUGUAUGUUUUCAAAUGUUAGAACCAAUUGGGCUUGGUCAAAAUUUAAGACAGCAUGUCAUGCACUCAAACACUACUUGUAGAAUGGUAGCCUAGAAUCUUGGUGUGAAUUUAACCUGUAAGGAAGCAUGCAUCGAGUUCAAAUUUAGAGAAGGUCAUAAUAAAAUAAAAUCUCAAAAAUGUAUCACUCUAGGUUACUGAUAAUUAAGAGAAAAAAAAGAUCCUUGCAAGCAAUUGGGCUUGGUUAAAUUUAGGGACGACAUGUGAUGUGCUCGAAAUCUGUGUUGUAUGAACAUGAAUGGCUGAUUGUCCAUUUAUUUCAUAGCUUCAAUUGUAUUGAAUUCUCCCUGUAUAAAUGACUUGUACACUCCAUAACCAUGAAAAUCCUCGCCUGGAGUGGUUGUUCGGAAUUCAAGAUUUUAUUGCCUAUGAAUGGUUAACCUAAUCUUUAUCGGGUUCACCCUCUAGAAUGAUUCAAUUCUGGAUUGAUUGAAGUACUGCUACAUUGGCCCCGAUGAACUUUUAACAAAGACUUUGAUCAAGCUGGUUGUGCAGAGCCCAAAUUGAAUCUGUUUAUAGGCUUGGAACUUUGGAUGGUCCCAAGAAUGGCUCACACAUGCUUCCCACAAGAGAAAAAAGAAAAGAAGAAAUGAAAUAAUUCAACCGGUGCAAGUAUUUAACUACGAUGACCUCGGAGCAACCCAAAAGGGAUGCAUCACAGCACUGUUUAAUGUUGGAGUGCAUAGGAAGAAGAAGAUAGUGUCGAAGUGUGUUCUGUUUGCCUAGAAAAACCACUCCCUUUUUAGGGCCUCUAUGAUGGAAUUGGCAAAAUAAUCAAAUGUCUUACUCUCUCCAAAACGAUUUAGAGCGUCCACAACCAUACUCUUUAAGUCUUUAUCAUGGCUCCUUGGCUAUAAUAGCAAGUAUAGUUUUUUUCCAUAGCAUUCAUGCUCUUUAAAAUAUUCUAGCUUUGUGAACAGUGCUCGCUACAUAUAGCGAGCUAGCACUCCUUGGCUGAGAUAGAAGAUUGGGCAACGCAGUUUGCGGGCAAAAGAAGGCUUAGUUCCAGGGUACCUGGUAGACCAAAUAGGGGUGGAGAAGGUAAGAGGAAGUACCU
rnacentral:lncRNA from 1 species